UAUAAAUCGAUGAAGAGAAAAAGUACGUAAGGAUUGAACUCUUGAAGCGAGCUGGGUAUGGUGAAAGCCAGUGAGGAAGCCGAACGGAAAAAUCAUCUCUGAGAUGCAAGGCUGAAAUUAUUAAGUAAGUCUUGACGGGAGUCCGCCGUUACAAGGAACGCGUAUGAUAGUACGUUGACAAGUGCUGUUUGUAAUAAGCAGAAUUUGGGUGGUAACGCGGGUUAAUACACUCGUCCCUAUU
rnacentral:ncRNA from 1 species